GAGUUUGAACCUGGCUCAGGAUGAACGCUGGCGGCGUGCCUAAUACAUGCAAGUCGAACGAAACUUCUUUAUCACCGAGUGCUUGCACUCACCGAUAAAGAGUUGAGUGGCGAACGGGUGAGUAACACGUGGGCAACCUGCCCAAAAGAGGGGGAUAACACUUGGAAACAGGUGCUAAUACCGCAUAACCAUAGUUACCGCAUGGUAACUAUGUAAAAGGUGGCUAUGCUACCGCUUUUGGAUGGGCCCGCGACGCAUUAGCUAGUUGGUGGGGUAAAGGCUUACCAAGGCAAUGAUGCGUAGCCGAACUGAGAGGUUGAUCGGCCACAUUGGGACUGAGACACGGCCCAAACUCCUACGGGAGGCAGCAGUAGGGAAUCUUCCACAAUGGGCGAAAGCCUGAUGGAGCAACGCCGCGUGGGUGAAGAAGGUCUUCGGAUCGUAAAACCCUGUUGUUAGAGAAGAAAGUGCGUGAGAGUAACUGUU
rnacentral:rRNA from 1 species